GCUACAAUGCAGUCGAACGGCAGCACAGGAGAGCUUGCUCUCUGGGUGGCGAGUGGCGGACGGGUGAGGAAUACAUCGGAAUCUACUCUGUCGUGGGGGAUAACGUAGGGAAACUUACGCUAAUACCGCAUACGACCUACGGGUGAAAGCAGGGGACCUUCGGGCCUUGCGCGAUUGAAUGAGCCGAUGUCGGAUUAGCUAGUUGGCGGGGUAAAGGCCCACCAAGGCGACGAUCCGUAGCUGGUCUGAGAGGAUGAUCAGCCACACUGGAACUGAGACACGGUCCAGACUCCUACGGGAGGCAGCAGUGGGGAAUAUUGGACAAUGGGCGCAAGCCUGAUCCAGCCAUACCGCGUGGGUGAAGAAGGCCUUCGGGUUGUAAAGCCCUUUUGUUGGGAAAGAAAUCCAGCUGGCUAAUACCCGGUUGGGAUGACGGUACCCAAAGAAUAAGCACCGGCUAACUUCGUGCCAGCAGCCGCGGUAAUACGAAGGGUGCAAGCGUUACUCGGAAUUACUGGGCGUAAAGCGUGCGUAGGUGGUCGUUUAAGUCCGUUGUGAAAGCCCUGGGCUCAACCUGGGAACUGCAGUGGAUACUGGGCGACUAGAAUGUGGUAGAGGGUAGCGGAAUUCCUGGUGUAGCAGUGAAAUGCGUAGAGAUCAGGAGGAACAUCCAUGGCGAAGGCAGCUACCUGGACCAACAUUGACACUGAGGCACGAAAGCGUGGGGGAGCAAACAGGAUUAGAUACCCUGGUAGUCCACGCCCUAAACGAUGCGAACUGGAUGUUGGGUGCAAUUUGGCACGCAGUAUCGAAGCUAACGCGUUAAGUUCGCCGCCUGGGGAGUACGGUCGCAAGACUGAAACUCAAAGGAAUUGACGGGGGCCCGCACAAGCGGUGGAGUAUGUGGUUUAAUUCGAUGCGAGGCGAAGAACCUUACCUGGGCCUUGACAUGUCGAGAACUUUCCAGAAGAUGGAUUGGUGCCCUUCGGGAAACUCGAACACAGGU
rnacentral:rRNA from 1 species